rnacentral:rRNA from 1 species
GUCCACGCCGUAAACGAUGAAUACUAGGUGUCGGGUGUCAAAGCUCGGUGCCGCAGCUAACGCAUUAAGUAUUCCGCCUGGGGAGUACGCACGCAAGUGUGAAACUCAAAGGAAUUGACGGGGACCCCGCACAAGCAGCGGAGCAUGUGGUUUAAUUCGAAGCAACGCGAAGAACCUUACCAGGUCUUGACAUCCUUCUGACCGACUCUUAGCCGAGUCUUCCCUUCGGGGCAGAAGAGACAGGUGGUGCAUGGUUGUCGU